rnacentral:rRNA from 1 species
AUUGAACGCUGGCGGCAGGCCUAACACAUGCAAGUCGAACGAGUGGCGGACGGGUGAGUAAUGUCUGGGAAACUGCCCGAUGGAGGGGGAUAACUAUUGGAAACGGUAGCUAAUACCGCAAACCAUCGGAUGUGCCCAGAUGGGAUUAGCUAGAAGGUGGGGUAACGGCUCACCUAGGGCACGAGCACUAGCUGGUCUGAGAGGAUGACCAGCCACACUGGAACUGAGACACGGCCCAGACUCCGACGGGAGGCAGCAGUGGGGAAUCUUGCGCAAUGGGCGCAAGCCUGAUGCAGCCAUGCCGCGUGUCUGAAGAAGGCCUUCGGGUUGUAAAGUACUUUCGUCGUUGAAGCGUUACUCACAGAAGAAGCACCGGCUAACUCCGUGCCAGCAGCCGCGGUAAUAC